GACGAACGCUGGCGGCGUGCUUAACACAUGCAAGUCGAACGGAGUGGCGAACGGGUGAGUCACACGUGGGUGACCUGCCCUGCACUUCGGGAUAAGCCUGGGAAACUGGGUCUAAUACCGGAUAGUGUGGGAUGGGCCCGCGGCCUAUCGGCUUGUUGGUGGGGUAAUUUCCUACCAAGGCGGCGACGGGUAGACGGCCUGCGAGGGUGGACGGCCACAUUGGUACUGGGACACGGCCCAGACUCCUACGGGAGGCAGCAGUGUGGAAUAUUGCACAAUGGGCGGAAGCCUGAUGCAGCAACGCCGCGUGGGGGAUGACGGCCGUCGGGUGGUAAACUCCUUUCACCAUCGACGCGGUAGAUGGAGAAGAAGCACCGGCUAACUACGUGCCAGCCGCCGCGGUAAUUC
rnacentral:rRNA from 1 species